rnacentral:lncRNA from 1 species
UUCCGCCAUGAUUGUGAGUCUUCCCCAGCCAUGUGGAACUAAUUUUGAAGGUCCCUGAUAAGACAUCUUUGAGGUCAGGCAUAAAUCAUCACUUCACAUCUUGACGGCAAUGCAACGAAGACAAGUAUCUGUCUCUUUGGGUCUGUCUAACAAGGAGCAAAGCCUGGCCUCCCACCAGCAUCCAGACAAUAGUGGAUUCCCUCUCCAUAGAUGUCAAAAAAGAAACAGAUGCUCCCGCAGGUGAAAUGAGCUCUGGUCCACAAUGCAACGCAGGCUGUGCAGAAAAUCAAAGAGGAACCAACCCAGAAGUAUCCCCCAGGACAAAUCAUUAAGGGGGAAAAGGUCUCUGCAAAUGUAAUGAGUCCAGACACCAAGGGAAACGGAGAAGAUAAGAAGCAGAGAUUGAGGUAAUGCGUCCACCAGCCAAGGAGCACCAAGACGUGCUGGCGACCACCAGAUGCUAGCGGGGAGACCUGGAACAGAUUCUCCCUCAAAGCCUCCAGAAGUAAACCAACUCUGUAGACACCUUCAUUUCAGACUUCUGGUCUCCAGAGCUGUGAGAGAAUCCAUUUCUGUUCAUUGCAGCCACUUUUUUCUUUUCUUCCUUCUUUCUUUUCUUUUUUCUUUC